rnacentral:rRNA from 1 species
CGCUGGCGGCGUGCCUAAUACAUGCAAGUCGAACGGUCUUUCUAUGGAAGCUUGCUUCCACUGAGAAGAUAGUGGCGAACGGGUGAGUAACACGUGGGUAACCCUGCCCAUAAGAGGGGGAUAACAUCCGGAAACGGGUGCUAAUACCGCAUAGUUUUCUUGAUCGCAUGAUUGAGAAAGGAAAGACGGCCUUUGUGCUGUCGCUUAUGGAUGGACCCGCGGCGUAUUAGUUAGUUGGUGAGGUAAUGGCUCACCAAGACGAUGAUACGUAGCCGACCUGAGAGGGUGAUCGGCCACAUUGGGACUGAGACACGGCCCAAACUCCUACGGGAGGCAGCAGUAGGGAAUCUUCCGCAAUGGACGAAAGUCUGACGGAGCAACGCCGCGUGAGUGAAGAAAGGUUUUCGGAUCGUAAAACUCUGUUGUCAGAGAAGAACAAGUUGGAGAGUAACUGCUCCAGCCUUGACGGUAUCUGACCAGAAAGCCACGGCUAACUACGUGCCAGCCGCGGC